AACGAACGCUGGCGGCAGGCCUAACACAUGCAAGUCGAGCGCGCCCUUCGGGGUGAGCGGCGGACGGGUGAGUAACGCGUGGGAACGUGCCCUUUUCUACGGAAUAGCCUCGGGAAACUGAGAGUAAUACCGUAUACGCCCUUUGGGGGAAAGAUUUAUCGGAAAAGGAUCGGCCCGCGUUGGAUUAGGUAGUUGGUGGGGUAAUGGCCUACCAAGCCGACGAUCCAUAGCUGGUUUGAGAGGAUGAUCAGCCACACUGGGACUGAGACACGGCCCAGACUCCUACGGGAGGCAGCAGUGGGGAAUCUUAGACAAUGGGGGCAACCCUGAUCUAGCCAUGCCGCGUGAAUGAUGAAGGCCUUAGGGUUGUAAAGCUCUUUCAGCUGGGAAGAUAAUGACGGUACCAGCAGAAGAAGCCCCGGCUAACUCCGUG
rnacentral:rRNA from 1 species